rnacentral:rRNA from 1 species
CCUACGGGAGGCAGCAGCAGUGGGAAUAUUGCACAAUGGGCGGAAGCCUGAUGCAGCAACGCCGCGUGCGGGAUGACGGCCUUCGGGUUGUAAACCGCUUUCGCCUGUGACGAAGCGUGAGUGACGGUAAUGGGUAAAGAAGCACCGGCUAACUACGUGCCAGCAGCCGCGGUGAUACGUAGGGUGCGAGCGUUGUCCGGAUUUAUUGGGCGUAAAGGGCUCGUAGGUGGUUGAUCGCGUCGGAAGUGUAAUCUUGGGGCUUAACCCUGAGCGUGCUUUCGAUACGGGUUGACUUGAGGAAGGUAGGGGAGAAUGGAAUUCCUGGUGGAGCGGUGGAAUGCGCAGAUAUCAGGAGGAACACCAGUGGCGAAGGCGGUUCUCUGGACCUUUCCUGACGCUGAGGAGCGAAAGCGUGGGGAGCGAACAGGAUUAGAUACCCUGGUAGUCCACGCCGUAAACGAUGUCUACUAGCCGUUGGGGUCCUUGAGACUUUAGUGGCGCAGUUAACGCGAUAAGUAGACCGCCUGGGGAGUACGGCCGCAAGGUUAAAACUCAA